GACGAACGCUGGCGGCGUGCCUAAUACAUGCAAGUCGAGCGAAUCUGCCUUGAAGAUCCGAGUGCUUGCACUCUGUGAAACAAGAUACAGACUAGCGGCGGACGGGUGAGUAACACGUGGAUAACCUGCCCAAGACAUCGGUAUAACCCCUGGAAACAGAUACUAAUACCGGUUAACAACAAAUGAUGCCUAUCAGCUGAUUAAAAGAUGGUUCUGCUCUCACUCUUGGAUGGACCUGCGGUGCAUUAGCUAGUUGGUAGGGUAACGGGCUUACAAGGCGAUGGAUCAUAGGCGGGUUUAGAGACGGGUUCGCCACAUUUGGACUUAGACACGGGCCAAACUCCCUCGGGAGGGAGCAGUUGGGAAUCUUCCAGAAAGGGCGCAAGUCUGGUGGAACAACGCCGCGUGAGGGAAGAAGGGUUUCCGCUUGGUAAGCUCUGUUUAUGGGGAAGAAGGACAGGUGUAGGAACUGAUCUUUGUUUGACGGUAAUCAAUUAGAAAGGCACGGCUAACUUCGUG
rnacentral:rRNA from 1 species